rnacentral:rRNA from 1 species
UGUUGCUUGCAAGGGCGUAUGGUGGAUGCCUUGGCAGACAGGACCGAUGAAGGACGUUUGAGGCUGCGAUAUGCCUCGGGGAGCCGCCUACAGGGCUUUGAUCCGAGGAUUUCCGAAUGGGGGAACCCACCGGCCGUCAUGGGUCGGUACCGGCUUCGGCCGGGGGGUACGCAGGGAAGUGAAACAUCUCAGUACCUGCAGGAAAGGAUAUUCCGUGAGUAGUGGCGAGCGAAAGCGGAUGAUGGCCAAACCUUGCGCGUGUGAUACCCGUCGGGGGUUGCGUGUGGGGUGUUGCGGGAUCGCGUGCGCCGGCUCCGACGGGCCGGCCGGCAGUUGUAGAAAACCAUGUGUCAGGGGAACCGGGUUGAAUACCGGGCCGCAGAGGGUGAGGGCCCCGUACCUGAACGCGCAUGGUCUGCCGAUCGCGUCUCCCAAGUAGCACGGGUCCCGUGGAACCCCGUGCGAAUCCGCCCGGACCGUCGGGUAAGCCUGAAUAUUCCUGUCUGACCGAUAGCGAACGAGUACCGUGAGGGAAAGGUGAAAAGUACCCCGGGAGGGGAGUGAAACAGUCUCUGAAACCGUGCGCCUACAAUCCGUCGGAGCCCUUUUUGUGGGGUGACGGCGUGCCUAUCGAAAAAUGAGUCUGCGAGUCAGUGGCAUGUGGCGAGCAUAACCCGUGUGGGGUAUGCGUAGCGAAGGCGAGUCUUAAAAGGCGUUUGAGUCGCGUGUCCUGGACCCGAAGCGGGAUGAUCUAGCCCUGAGCAGGUUGAAGCGCGGGUAAGACCGUGUGGAGGACCGAACCCACCUGGGUUGAAAACCGGGGGGAUGACUUGGGGUUAGGGGUGAAAGGCCAAUCAAAUUCCGUGAUAGCUGGUUCUCUCCGAAAUGCAUUUGGGUGCAGCGUCGGGUCAUUGCGUCCCGGGGGUAGAGCUACUGGAUGCUUGCGGGCCCGUAUCGGGUACCAACAGCAACCAAACUCCGAAUACCGGUGACGUGUAUCCCGGCAGUGAGUCGGCGGGGGAUAAGCUUCGUCGUCGAAAGGGAAACAGCCCAGACCGUCGUCUAAGGUCCCGAAGCGUGUGCUAAGUGGGAAAGGAUGUGGAGUCGCAUAGACAGCCAGGAGGUUGGCUCAGAAGCAGCCAUCCUUGAAAGAGUGCGUAACAGCUCACUGGUCUAGUGGUUCCGCGCCGACAAUGUAGCGGGGCUCAAGCACACCACCGAAGACGCGGCAGUAUUUUGUACUGGGUAGGAGAGCGUCCCAUGAGGGGCGAAGCGGCCGUGUGAACGCGCCGUGGACUUCAUGGGAGUGAGAAUGCAGACAUGAGUAGCGAAAGACGGGUGAAGAUCCCGUCCGCUGGAUGACCAAGGGUUCCAGGGCCACGUUCAUCGUCCCUGGGUGAGUCGGGUCCUAAGGCGAGGCCGACAGGCGUAGUCGAAUGGAUGAACGGGUCGAUAUUCCCGUACCGGCUUUCAGCCGCCAGAACCGAGGCUUGGAGUACUAACCUCCGGGUCCGGGCUUACUUCCCCUUCGGGGGUGGGAUGCCUGGGCCUGUUGGGACCGAUCCUUGUAGUAGGUCAGCGCAGGAGUGACGCAGAAGGGUAGCCGGCCGCGGAGGUGGUCUUCCGUGGUCAAGCACGCAGCCCGUCCCGUAGGCAAAUCCGCGGGGCGUGUGGGCGAGGUGCGAUGGUGGGGGCCGUUUGGCCCGAUAUCCGGUGAUCCCGGCUGCCGAGAAAAGCUUCGGCGUCAGGCUGUUGGCCGCCCGUACCCCAAACCGACACUGGUGGUCAGGUAGAGAAUACCAAAGCGAUCGAGCGAAUCCUGGUCAAGGAACUCGGCAAAUCACUCCCGUUCCUUCGGUUUAAGGGAGACCCCCGAUGGUGAUCCGCCUCGCGCGGGGAGCUUUUGGGGGUGGCACAGACCAGGGGGUAGCGACUGUUUACCAAAAACACAGGUGCAUGCGAAGGCGCAAGCCGCUGUAUAUGCACUGACGCCUGCCCGGUGCCGGAAGGUUAAGAGGAUCCGUCAGCCUUCGGGUGAAGCGGUGAAUUCAAGCCCCGGUAAACGGCGGUGGUAACUAUAACCAUCCUAAGGUAGCGAAAUUCCUUGUCGGGUAAGUUCCGACCUGCACGAAUGGCGUAAUGAUGGCCAGGCUGUCUCCACCCGAGACUCAGUGAAAUUGAACUCGCUGUGAAGAUGCAGUGUACCCGCGGCAAGACGGAAAGACCCCGUGAACCUUUACUAUAGCUUGACACUGAACAUUGAGCCUUGAUGUGUAGGAUAGGUGGGAGGCUUUGAAGCGUGGACGCCAGUCUGCAUGGAGCCAACCUUGAAAUACCACCCUUUAAUGUUUGAUGUUCUAACUCCGGUCCCUAAUCGGGAUUGAGGACAGUGUCUGGUGGGUAGUUUGACUGGGGCGGUCUCCUCCUAAAGAGUAACGGAGGAGCACGAAGGUUAGCUAAUCACGGUCGGACAUCGUGAGGUUAGUGCAAUGGCAUAAGCUAGCUUGACUGCGAGAGUGACGGCUCGAGCAGGUACGAAAGUAGGUCAUAGUGAUCCGGUGGUUCUGAAUGGAAGGGCCAUCGCUCAACGGAUAAAAGGUACUCCGGGGAUAACAGGCUGAUACCGCCCAAGAGUUCAUAUCGACGGCGGUGUUUGGCACCUCGAUGUCGGCUCAUCACAUCCUGGGGCUGAAGUAGGUCCCAAGGGUAUGGCUGUUCGCCAUUUAAAGUGGUACGCGAGCUGGGUUUAGAACGUCGUGAGACAGUUCGGUCCCUAUCUGCCGUGGGCGUUGGAAGAUUGAGAGGGGCUGCUCCUAGUACGAGAGGACCGGAGUGGACGCAUCACUGGUGUUCGGGUUGUCAUGCCAAUGGCAUUGCCCGGUAGCUAAAUGCGGAAAAGAUAAGCGCUGAAAGCAUCUAAGCGCGAAACUUGCCUCGAGAUGAGUCUUCCCUGAGACCUUGAGUCUCCUAAAGGAACGUUUAAGACUAAGACGUUGAUAGGCUGGGUGUGUAAGCGUAGCGAUACGUUGAGCUAACCAGUACUAAUGAUCCGUGAGGCUUAACCUU